AGUCUUGAAAAUGUGACAGAUGGUCCAGAGGAUGUGAUCCAUGGCUGCAGGCGGGCAGGACCAUGCCUCUUGGUAGUAGUGUUUGUUCCAUUACUAUCUGCAAGCCAUUUUGUCCUGAGAUAGAUUCCACAUUACUAGAGGAAGAAAAGAAGAGAGGAGAAUGAUGUUAGAGCACAUAACUAAUUCCACCAUCACUGACAGCCCAAGGUGUGGGCUGUCACAUUGAUGAUGAGGCACUAGCAGCUUCACAGCA